rnacentral:rRNA from 1 species
ACGCGGCGGACGGCUCAGGACAACGGUUGCACCCCCCGCGGCGGUCCCUGCUAGCCGGACACCGCUGGCAACCCGGCGCCAAGACGUGCGCGCAAGGGCGGGCGCCCGCGGGCGAGCAGCGUGACGCAGCGACGGCCCGCCCGGGCUUCCGGGGCAUCACCCGGUCGGCGCGGUCGCGGCGCGCCGAGGGCCCGACGCCUGGGCGGAGAAUCAGGGUUCGAC